CACAUCCACACACAGAGAGACCAUAUCACAAUAGCUGAAAAUGUACCUGGCACAUGUCUGUUAUUAUGUCCAACAACACUGAUGUUAAUAUGCAAUGACUAAGCGGAACAUAGCAUGACUUAGGAGCAAUGACCUGAAGAGGAGCUCUGUGGAACUCGAAAGUUUGUCUCUGUCACCAAUACAAGAACCUUACCUCUCUCAUAGAGACCGUCCGCAGUUACGUGGAAGUUGUAAACAAAGAAGCAAAAUAACUUGAUCCUACAAAGGAACAACUCAGUUUCAGCCCCCACUCAGCCUACAGAACUUCUGUUUGAAGUGCAGAGGCUUAAGGAACUACAGAAAUAUCCAACAAGUUCUCGGCAAAGAAACUUCAUUAUAUGAGGAGGACCUAAACAGGUGUACAAGGUUGUUGGGAUACUGCCAUAGCUUUAAAAAGAAAAAAACAUGGAUAAGAAUGUGAAUGAAGUCCCCUUCCCAGUCAGACUACUUAUGUGAGUGAAUGCUCACCAAGGCGAGUGAGGAGUUCACAAUCUGUUCCCAGUCAUCUGUGUUUUUCAUUCAAGGUGAUUACCAUCCCAAACAAGUUUUUCAUCAUUUCAAAAUC